rnacentral:rRNA from 1 species
AGAGUUUGAUCAUGGCUCAGGACGAACGCUGGCGGCGUGCCUAAUACAUGCAAGUCGAGCGGACAGAUGGGAGCUUGCUCCCUGAUGUUAGCGGCGGACGGGUGAGUAACACGUGGGUAACCUGCCUGUAAGACUGGGAUAACUCCGGGAAACCGGGGCUAAUACCGGAUGGUUGUUUGAACCGCAUGGUUCAAACAUAAAAGGUGGCUUCGGCUACCACUUACAGAUGGACCCGCGGCGCAUUAGCUAGUUGGUGAGGUAACGGCUCACCAAGGCAACGAUGCGUAGCCGACCUGAGAGGGUGAUCGGCCACACUGGGACUGAGACACGGCCCAGACUCCUACGGGAGGCAGCAGUAGGGAAUCUUCCGCAAUGGACGAAAGUCUGACGGAGCAACGCCGCGUGAGUGAUGAAGGUUUUCGGAUCGUAAAGCUCUGUUGUUAGGGAAGAACAAGUACCGUUCGAAUAGGGCGGUACCUUGACGGUACCUAACCAGAAAGCCACGGCUAACUACGUGCCAGCAGCCGCGGUAAUACGUAGGUGGCAAGCGUUGUCCGGAAUUAUUGGGCGUAAAGGGCUCGCAGGCGGUUUCUUAAGUCUGAUGUGAAAGCCCCCGGCUCAACCGGGGAGGGUCAUUGGAAACUGGGGAACUUGAGUGCAGAAGAGGAGAGUGGAAUUCCACGUGUAGCGGUGAAAUGCGUAGAGAUGUGGAGGAACACCAGUGGCGAAGGCGACUCUCUGGUCUGUAACUGACGCUGAGGAGCGAAAGCGUGGGGAGCGAACAGGAUUAGAUACCCUGGUAGUCCACGCCGUAAACGAUGAGUGCUAAGUGUUAGGGGGUUUCCGCCCCUUAGUGCUGCAGCUAACGCAUUAAGCACUCCGCCUGGGGAGUACGGUCGCAAGACUGAAACUCAAAGGAAUUGACGGGGGCCCGCACAAGCGGUGGAGCAUGUGGUUUAAUUCGAAGCAACGCGAAGAACCUUACCAGGUCUUGACAUCCUCUGACAAUCCUAGAGAUAGGACGUCCCCUUCGGGGGCAGAGUGACAGGUGGUGCAUGGUUGUCGUCAGCUCGUGUCGUGAGAUGUUGGGUUAAGUCCCGCAACGAGCGCAACCCUUGAUCUUAGUUGCCAGCAUUCAGUUGGGCACUCUAAGGUGACUGCCGGUGACAAACCGGAGGAAGGUGGGGAUGACGUCAAAUCAUCAUGCCCCUUAUGACCUGGGCUACACACGUGCUACAAUGGACAGAACAAAGGGCAGCGAAACCGCGAGGUUAAGCCAAUCCCACAAAUCUGUUCUCAGUUCGGAUCGCAGUCUGCAACUCGACUGCGUGAAGCUGGAAUCGCUAGUAAUCGCGGAUCAGCAUGCCGCGGGUGAAUACGUUCCCGGGCCUUGUACACACCGCCCCGUCACACCACGAGAGUUUGUAACACCC